AUUCCAUGAUGCGGGCAAUUUUUGAUCAUCAUAUUAAAGCGCUCAAAGGCUUCAUGAAACAUUUUGCCUUGUUGUUGUUGGAAACUCCUGAACCCCUUCCUAGCAU
rnacentral:snoRNA from 1 species